rnacentral:lncRNA from 1 species
GAGAGAGAGAGAGAGAGAGAGAGAGAGAGAGAGAGGUGGCCCAGAGAGUAAGACAGGUGAGGAAAAUUUGAAACCUUGGGGGCUUAAUUGCCUAUUCAAGAAAGGACGUCUCCACACUGGGUCAGACAGAGCCAUAUAAGACAGCAUUAUUAAAUAACAGGCCAAGCUACAGUGGAGCCAUCCCUUAGCUCCAUCCUCCAUUACACAGUGAGGAGGAGGAGGAGUCGCAAUUUUAGCCACUGAUUUUUUGUUUUGUUUUGUUUUUUAGAUGACUGAACAAACACAAAACCCAGACUAAAAAUAGAGAAAUUCACAGCAAAUGUUUUUGUAACACUUUGCAUGUUAAAAGAACAAAAAAAAUUUUUUUCUUACAAUGUUACCAAUUAAAGCUUCAUUAUUUUAAACAGGUAUGAGUCAGGAUUUAUCUGAAAGAAAAAUAGAAAAAAAAAAUACUCUCCGCCAGUUUCAUUAAGGUUCAGUUUAGUGCUGAUCACAGCUUGGAGGCUGUCUGUGCUAUUCUAUUUACCAACAUUAUUUUCCUUGAAAAAAAUAAUUAUUUUAAUCUGCUACUGCUGAUGUCCAUGCUGGUUGCAGGUAAAUGGAAGUGAAUGAAUGUGUGUGCUGAUGUGCAGUUGACACAGCAGAGUCUAUGAUGUCACCAAGCACCAGGAUAACUAGGACUUGGUUUUCCUAAUAAUGCCAUUUUAAUAAUUUAGAAAAUUGGAAAAACAAAACCAUAUAUUUCAGACCUAUAGGAGCAUAUACAACCCUUACUCAGUCAAAAGGGCUAAUGGGGACAUCAUUUCUUAAAUACAUCAAAACUCACUUAUAUUAAUAUCUAGUGUUGUCCCAAUUAAAAUGCGAUAAUAAUCUAUCAGUGAUAGUAUUUUUUUAUGAAAUUCUUUCUGGUAUUCAAUCUUUUUUUAAUGUAUUAAUAUUUUACUGAAAAUUAAACUCUGGUUUCAAAAUUAAGGUAUUUAAAUUUCUGAUACCAUCAUCUUCUGCCA